ACUGACAGGGAACGAACGUGGGCUGGGUUUGGACCAGCGUGAGACAGAUUCAAGAAAGUUUUCUCCUCCUCAUGAAGUGGUGCUGUGGCAGCAAUUGAGCUAGCUCAAGUACGAGAGGAACCCCUGCUUUCACGUAGUUGGACCGUACA
rnacentral:rRNA from 1 species